GAUGAACGCUAGCGGCAGGCUUAAUACAUGCAAGUCGUGGGGCAGCAUGAGUAGCAAUACUUGAUGGCGACCGGCAAACGGGUGAGGAACACGUACACAACCUUCCUUCAAGCGGGGAAUAGCCCAGAGAAAUUUGGAUUAAUACCCCAUAAUAUAUUUGAUAAGGCAUCUUAUUAAUAUUAAAGCUUCGGCACUUGAUGAUGGGUGUGCGGCUGAUUAGAUAGUUGGCGGGUAACGGCCCACCAAGUCUACGAUCAGUAGCUGAUGUGAGAGCAUGAUCAGCCACACGGGCACUGAGACACGGGCCCGACUCUACGGAGGCAGCAGUUAAGGAAUAAUUUCGGUAC
rnacentral:rRNA from 1 species